ensembl:lncRNA
GCUGCUUUCAGAGGAGGAAAUGAAUGCAACGACUCCUGUCCAGCUCAGGAGGGGGAAGUCAUGGUUGAAAGUCCCCUCGCAGACUGAAAGAGCUGGUGAAGCAGGGGAAGAAAAGUUACAGGCCCUCAUUCCAUUCUGGAACCACUUUAUCUGAAAAAAAUGAAAGAAAGAAAAGAAAAGGAAGUUAUAGGCUUCAUGUUUCAUUUCCACAUUCUAGAUGUGGUCAGCAGCUGCAUCGUAGAAGGACAGGAUAUGGAAGCCACACAUUGGCUGCGCCAUUCUGCAUCUGAGCAAGAUUCUCCUAGCAAAAUAAAGAUUCAUUCUUGAAACAGCCAGGGACUGUGCUGUACUGUCUGUUCCCAGGAGGACUGAAGGGGAAAUUAGUCAUCUGCCAAGGAGCCAUAGGAAGGAAGAUGAUAAACUCAAGGAAAAAGAGUCACAUGCCUUUUUUUGUCCUUACUUCUAAACCCGAGUGUACUCUUGACAAAAGUAAUGCAGCAGCCAGGAGUUUUGAAUACAGGAGGGACAUAAAGUGCCUGUUAAAUGCGACCAUUGAUCUUACUUCCCUCCUUUCUAAUGGAGUAUUACAUCUUUAUUUUUAUGCUUGCACAUCAGAUGAGGUAAACUGGAGAGUGGUAUCUGUAUAGUGCUGCAAAGAAACGUGAAAAAAUGAGCUACACCUAACGUUGUCUGGAGCCCUUGCUACAGACCCACCCCAUAAUUUGGCAGCCAGGCAGAGAAGGGCUGUACCCACCCUUGCUAGGGGCACAGUUUCGCCAUUAUAGCUCUGUAGAUAAGAUAUAUAUUCAUUUCCUAGAUUAUUCCUAAUGAUAGUGGGAAAAUCUCUGAAACUUUCCAGGAUCUAAGAGAUACUUAGACUGCUGCUUACACUUGAGCAAGCCUCUUCAUUACUGGCUCUUCCACUGUUUCAUGCCUUCCCUCAGAGUUGGCCCUUUCAAUCACUUUUGUAUUGUUUUUUGGUUUUUGAAUGACAGCAUUGUGGGUUUUAUUUUCCUUCUGAAGAAACUGCACUUAUGAAUUAAGUGCAAAAAUCUCAGUGUAAGUCAGACUCAUGAUUCCCAUGAGCUUGUAGUUUUGGCAGUAUUGGUGACUUUGGAAGAGAUCAGAGACUUCUCAAGUCUUUAAUAUAUAACUACUAAUUAGAUACUGCUGCAAUUAAAUCUAAAUCAAGAUCUGCUGUCUAAGCUAUUUAGCUCUGUUAAGACAGUUUAGCCACCAAAUAAACCUGCUUUGGUGUUAGACCCAAACAACCACAUCACAAAGAUUCAAGAAAGCUUCUAGGAUCAUCGCUUCAGCGUUACAUCUGAAAAAUAAAUCUAAAUGUGCACUAUUCAUCCUGUUCUGAUGAAAUCAGCAUGAGCCUGAGCAGGCAGCACUUCUCACAGACCAAGGGCUGAAUAUUUGCUUUCCAGAUUUAACAGCACUUCAGACAAAAGUCAUUUUUUAAGCAGAUAGUUAUAAUCUGAGGCGAGAAACAUGAGAUGACGAUUAAGGCUGGCUGGAGCAAAAGAACAAACAUUCUGUCAUGAUGCUGCUGAAGCGCUCCAGAAAUAGCCCCCAUUCUGAUAUUUUCAGAGCACAUAUUUGUGCGUGCACUCUAUUAGGUCUGCUACUAAUUUGGUCAAAGUUAGUCGUGUUAAUUAUCUGUCAGUUUGGGAUGGUAAUUUUGACAACUGCUGAACAGUUUCUUCCUCAGAGUCCUCGUGAUCAUCUUCAAUGAUCUAAUCUAAUGUAUUGUCUUGAAACUGAAAUGCUUCAAGCCAGCAUUAACCACAUAAAUAAAUACAAAGCAAUAAUGUGACAUUUCCUGACAAGUGGUGGCAAAGUUUGCUUUUACAGUUGCUGUGAGAAUUAAAGCUUUUAGGAAAUGAGCACAUGUACUGUUAUCAGCUGUCAGACUUUUCUCUUUAGUCUCGCACCAUGUUUUCUUUUUCCCCCCCCCCGUAAAGACUUGUUGUUGAGGUUAAGAUUAUGCAAGAAUUCCACCUUUUAUUUUCUUUGCUGUUAAUAAUUCUCAUGUUUAUGAGGUAAUUCUCAUGGCUAUCUCAUGUUAGUUCUCAAAAAAAAAAAAAAAAAGUGAUUGUAACCCAUAAUACAUUGAAAUAAAAAUCAGUGCUUGAUGUUUUC